CCGGCUUGAAGGUUUUGGAGGCCAAGCCUUCUUCUUCAAAGCCUUGUGAUACCUUUUUUGGGGUUCUGGUUCUUGCCUGCAUAUUGUUGAUCUUUGCUUAUGAGAUUUAAGUAAUAGGGUUUUUGCAAAGAGAGCUUCCUUCAGUCCACUCAUGGUCGGUUAUGGGAUUUGAUUAGCUGCCGACUCAUUCAUCCACGUCCUGAGCAAGUGAAAUUUGCUCUGUAGAUGAGUGAAUGAUGCGGGAGGUAAAUCUGAUCUCAUGUUGCCUUUGCUUGGACUGAAGGGAGCUCCCUUGCUCACUCCAUCCUCCUGCACACAAACAAUUAUUUUUUUGGCUGCUGUAAAGUUUUCUUCUGAUAUGAUUUUAAGCUCGCUAUCGAGCUAUCAAAUUUGCUUUCUUUAGUUUGUCUUGAAAACGCUUUUAAGUUGUCUUGUUUUUUAAGCUUCUCAUCUUUGGCUUAAACUCAAUAGUCAUACGACCAAGUUAAUUUCUGCUUGUAAUUAUCAGAUUGAUUUGAAGCUUUUGUCUGAUUAAUUAGCUUCUUACUUUGGAUAAAUCCGUCAAGAAUGGAAGCCGCGUGCGAUAGCUGCAGUAUAAUCAUAUUGAACCGUAGCACUUCAGGAAUGCAUGUCAUUGAAAACCCUAAUAAGUGAUCUCCGGCGUCUGCAGUAGCUCCACAAGUUCCGAGCAGCACUAGUGGCUUAAACAAAAGAAAUGGCAGGAAUGCAUCAUUGCACCUCUCCCUGAAGGGCGACUUGUCUCAGGGAAAAUGAUGGAUGGUUCCAUGCGUCAGCUGGUCAGUGGCGGGCUUGCAGUUCCAAGUGGUCAUGGCGUGCAUGGCGCAGUCCUCGAUGCUGCCGCUGCUCCCCUGUUUGCUUUCUUCUUCCUCUCUACCUCUGUAUUUUAAUCAGAAGCAAAGGCUCAUGUGGAGUGGGCGUUUGUAAUAUUAAAUGCAACUUAAACCUGUAGGACUAAUUUCUGGGUUAUGAUAAUGGCGAACACUGUUUGGCAUUGGCUGCCAUAAUCUUGGGGGGUGGUUUAACUGUACUUAGCAGUGGGGAAGUUGAUGAAUGAUAAUUAUUGUCCCUAUAGGCAUUAUCAAAA